UACGUAGGGGCCUAGCGUUGUCCGGAUUUAUUUGGGCGUAAAGGGCUCGUAGGCGGCCAACUAAGUCAGACGUGAAAAUCCCUCGGCUUAACCGGGGAACUGCGUCUGAUACUGGAUGGCUAGAGGUUGGGAGAGGGAUGCGGAAUUUCAGGUGUAGCGGUGAAAUGCGUAGAUAUCUGGAGGAACACCGGUGGCGAAGGCGGCAUCCUGGACCAAUUCUGACGCUGAGGAGCGAAAGCCAGGGGAGCAAACGG
rnacentral:rRNA from 1 species